rnacentral:other from 1 species
UACAUCCUGCGGUGUACGAGAUAAAGCCUUAUUUAUAACCUCACUCAUUAAAAGGGAUGGCGCGUACGCGUUGAUAUGUCAGGCCUCAGUAAUUUUGGCGUAAGCCAAGCAGGGGAAGACAAAAGACCGCGUCAGCCGACCCACCUGCUGAAAAGCGGGUUUGAAUACGGCUUAAUUAAUCUGCGGCACAGGCGGGAUUUUU